rnacentral:rRNA from 1 species
GAUGAACGCUGGCGGCGUGCCUAAUACAUGCAAGUAGAACGCUGAGGGAGGAGCUUGCUCUUCUGGAUGAGUGGCGCACGGGUGAGUAUCACGUAGGGAAACUCCCUGUUUGCGGGGGGGAACUCUUGGAAAAGAUAGAUAAAAUCGCAGGACAACUGUUAUAGCAUGUUGACUGAUAGAAAGAGGCAGCUGUUCCGCUACCAGAUGAACCUGCGUUGUAUUAUCUAGUUGGUGAGGUAACGGCGCAACAAGGCGACCAUACAUAGGCGACCUGGGAGGGGGAUCGGCCACACUGGGACCUAGACACGGCCCCAACCCCCUAGGGGGGGAACAAGAGGGGAAUUUCGGGAAUGGGCGGAAGUCCUGACGGGCAACGCCGCGGGAGUGAAGGAGGUUUUCGGGUCGUAAAGCUCUGGUGUAAGGGAAGAACCAGUGGUGGAAUGAAAAGUUCACACUGUGACGGUACCUUACCAGAAAGGGACGGCUAACUACGUG